GAGGAUACAUAAGCUAACUAUAGGUAUUGAUAUUCACACCUAUCCUUGCAGUGGUGUCAUGGACUGCACCAUUUAGGGCUAUCUUCAUCUUCUUUUACUUCUGAGUGAAUUGGAAGUUCACAAAUGAACUCAACUUGAAUACCACCACCACCUAAUGUGCUAGAGAGUGUAUGAAUCUGACCUUUAUUUUGACAGGGAGUCAAUACUGAGACCGAGGUCUCUUUUCCAGAUGAGGCCUGUAUAGCACCACAAUACACAUUAAUAUACAAUAAACCCAUUAAACUACCAAUUCAUAUACACAUGCAACUACCCAUUCAUAAAAACAAUAUACACAGUGUUAUACACAACAUGACACAAAGUAAAACACAAUCAUAAAAAAACAGACAUUCUUUAGCAACAAUGUCCCAUAACAACUGUCUGAAAUGCCCUUGAGGCACCAAUUCCUCCAAUUUUAAAGUGCAUUGUAGAUUAUUCGACACACGCAAGGCACAAGGAAACCAAAUGCUGAUCUACCGAACUCUGUAGACCCCAAUGGAGUCUCUACUAGAGUUAACCAACCCCAAUGGAGUCUCUAGAGUUAACCAACCCCAAUGGAGUCUCUACUAGAGUUAACCAACCCCAAUGGAGUCUCUAGAGUUAACCAACCCCAAUGGAGUCUCUAGAGUUAACCAACCCCAAUGGAGUCUCUAGAGUUAACCAACCCCAAUGGAGUCUCUAGAGUUAACCAACACCAAUGGAGUCUCUAGAGUUAACCAACCCCAAUGGAGUCUAGUGUUAACCAACCCCAAUGGAGUUUCUAGAGUUAACCAACCCCAAUGGAGUCUCUAGAGUUAACCAACCCCAAUGGAGUCUCUAGAGUUAACCAACCCCAAUGGAGUCUCUAGAGUUAACCAACACCAAUGGAGUCUCUAGAGUUAACCAACCCCAAUGGAGUCUAGUGUUAACCAACCCCAAUGGAGUCUCUAGUGUUAACCAACCCCAAUGGAGUCUCUAGAGUUAACCAACCCCAAUGGAGUCUCUAGAGUUAACCAACCCCAAUGGAGUCUCUAGAGUUAACCAACCCCAAUGGAGUCUCUAGAGUUAACCAACCCCAAUGGAGUCUCUACUAGAGUUAACCAACCCCAAUGGAGUCUCUAGAGUUAACCAACCCCAAUGGAGUUUCUAGAGUUAACCAACCCCAAUGGAGUCUCUAGAGUUAACCAACCCCAAUGGAGUCUCUAGAGUUAACCAACACCAAUGGAGUCUCUAGAGUUAACCAACCCCAAUGGAGUCUAGUGUUAACCAACCCCAAUGGAGUUUCUAGAGUUAACCAACCCCAAUGGAGUCUCUAGAGUUAACCAACCCCAAUGGAGUCUCUAGAGUUAACCAACCCCAAUGGAGUCUCUAGAGUUAACCAACACCAAUGGAGUCUCUAGAGUUAACCAACCCCAAUGGAGUCUAGUGUUAACCAACCCCAAUGGAGUCUCUAGUGUUAACCAACCCCAAUGGAGUCUCUAGAGUUAACCAACCCCAAUGGAGUCUCUAGAGUUAACCAACCCCAAUGGAGUCUCUAGAGUUAACCAACCCCAAUGGAGUCUCUAGAGUUAACCAACCCCAAUGGAGUCUCUAGAGUUAACCAACCCCAAUGGAGUCUCUAGAGUUAACCAACCCCAAUGGAGUCUCUAGAGUUAACCAACCCCAAUGGAGUCUAGUGUUAACCAACCCCAAUGGAGUCUCUAGUGUUAACCAACCCCAAUGGAGUCUCUAGAGUUAACCAACCCCAAUGGAGUCUCUAGAGUUAACCAACCCCAAUGGAGUCUCUAGAGUUAACCAACCCCAAUGGAGUCUCUAGAGUUAACCAACCCCAAUGGAGUCUCUAGAGUUAACCAACCCCAAUGGAGUCUCUACUAGAGUUAACCAACCCCAAUGGAGUCUCUAGAGUUAAACAACCCUGUGACCAGGUUUGAGUUUUAAAAAACAGUAAGGGGUUUUCCUGCACAACUGUAAAAUCAGACUGUAGCCUUGUCACAGCCAGGUCAGCAGCCGGGGUAAUUCCGUAAGGUAAUAUAGUAUCAUCCGUAUUUAGAUGAGAUCGAGACAAGAUCGUUAACAACUAUAGUGGUUGCUGUAGUAAUGCUAUUCCCAGGCCUAAAGCCUUUACAUGAGAUCGAUAUACUGAACAAUACGUUUUCCAUUCACACAAAUUUUGUGCUCAAAUUUGUUUACGUCCUUGUUAUUGAGCAUUUUUUUCUUUUGUGAAGAUAAUCCAUCCACCUGACAGGUGUGUCAUAUCCAGAAGCUGAUUAAAUAGCAUGAUCAUUACAGCAUGAACAUUGACAAACUGAUGUCCCAGCCUUAUUAGUCUAGUCAUGGUAAAAACAUGACGUCUGGCCUCCCGAGUGUCACAGCGGUCUAAGGCACUACUGUCUUUCUUUUGAAUGCACAGAUGACACAAUAAACAACAAUAUCUAACGUUUAACUACCACAGUAUCAUGUUACAGGGCAAUUUCACAAUGACAUAGUCAUAAUCUCAAGCACCACCCCCAACAUCAACAUUUGUGAAAAUGGCACAUUUUUAUGUUUUGCAGUAAAAUAUAUAGAGGAAUAUGUGUUUCCAAUGACAUCAGAGGGAUUUUAUCCAAUUAUCAGGAGGAAUUGUUUACUAAUUACCUACUAAUUGGUUGAUGAUGUCAUCACAUAUGUUGAUGUUGGGGUGGUGCUUGAGAUGAUGAAUGUGUAGUAUGUUUUUUUUUUUUUUAAAUACAUUAUUUCCUGUUAAAGCAACGUAUGUACAUGACUAACAUGUAAAACAGUAACAUAGUCUAUAGAGGCCUGUAUACUGGGGGCUGAGUCUAUAUAUAGUGUAUACUAGGGGCUGAGUCUAUAUAUAGUGUAUACUAGGGGCUGAGUCUAUAGAGGCCUGUAUACUGGGGGCUGAGUCUAUAUAUAGUGUAUACUAGGGGCUGAGUCUAUAUAUAGUGUAUACUAGGGGCUGAGUCUAUAGAGGCCUGUAUACUGGGGGCUGAGUCUAUAUAUACUGUAUACUAGGGGCUGAGUCUAUAGAGGCCUGUAUACUGGGGGCUGAGUCUAUAGAGGCCUGUAUACUGGGGGCUGAGUCUAUAGAGGCCUGUAUACUGGAGGCUGAGUCUAUAGAGGCCUGUAUACUGGGGGCUGAGUCUAUAUAUACUGUAUACUAGGGGCUGAGUCUAUAGAGGCCUGUAUACUGGGGGCUGAGUCUAUAGAGGCCUGUAUACUGGAGGCUGAGUCUAUAUAUAGUAUAUACUAGGGGCUGAGUCUAUAGAGGCCUGUAUACUGGGGGCUGAGUCUAUAUAUAGUGUAUACUAGGGGCUGAGUCUAUAGAGGCCUGUAUACUGGGACUGAGUCUAUAUAUAGUAUAUACUGGGGGCUGAGUCUAUAUAUAGUAUGUACUGGGGGCUGAGUCUAUAUAUAGUGUAUACUGGGGGCUGGGUCUAUGUAAUAUAUACUAGGGGCUGAGUAUAUAUAUAUAGUAUAUACUGAGGGCUGAGUAUAGUAUAUACUGGGGGCUGAGUCUAUGUAUAGUAUAUACUGGGGGCUGAGUCUAUGUAUAGUAUAUACUGGGGGCUGAGUCUACGUAUAGUAUAUACUGGGGGCUGAGUCUAUAUAUAGUAUAUACUGGGGGCUGAGUCUAUAUAUAGUAUAUACUGGGGGCUGAGUCUAUAUAUAGUAUAUACUGGGGGCUGAGUCUAUAUAUAGUAGAUACUGGGGCUGAGUCUAUAUAUAGUAUAUAUAGCAUAUACUGGGGGCUGAGUCUAUAUAUAGUAUAUACUGGGGCUGAAUCUAUAUAUAGUAUAUACUGGGGCUACUGGGGGCUGAGUCUAUAUAUAGUAUAUACUGGGGCUGAUCUAUAUAUAGUAGAUACUGGGGCUGAAUCUAUAUAUAGUAGAUACUGGGGCUGAAUCUAUAUAUAGUAGAUACUGGGGCUGAAUCUAUAUAUAGUAGAUACUGGGGCUCAAUGUUCCAAACGGGGCACUAUUCCAUCUAUCUCUCAUUGCCUCCAGUAGAAUUCAGUUGUGGAUAUUUUUUAUACCUGAUUAAACUCAGUAGAAGGGCUGGUUUCUAUUGACAUAAAAUGUAUUGUUAUGUCAUGAUCUGGAUGGAACCGGUGUUUUUUAGAAUAUUGUUCUGUUCCGGAACAGUAUAGAUCCCUUUCGUUGUCUGUUCUGGUUCUGUUCCUUGAAAUUCCGUUUUUCUUUUCUGUGCCCUGAACUGGUUCCAACCCCUGGUUUAGAAUAUUUUAAAGUAUCCAUUAAUUAAAUAGUAAAUGCUAACAAACUGUAAUCUUCUUCAUUAAAGGUGGAUGAUGUUGGUAGAUUGUCUUUAUCCAUGAAAAGUCAGUAUUGUAUCAUGGUGAUGAUAAAUCACAAGAAUAAAAGAUGCCAGACACUCACUGCAUUGUUGGAAUAUUAGAAACUGUCUGGUUUGAGCCCUGAAUGCUGAUUGGCUGACAGCCGUUGGUAUAUCAGACAGUAUGACAAAACAUGUAUUUUUACUGCUCUAAUUACAUUGGUAACCAGUUUAUAAUAGCAAUAAGGCACCAAUGUUUGUGAUGAAUGGAGAGUGGAUUGUCUACUUUACACACAAUCUCUGCUCUACGUGUUGAGCUUCCCAAAGAAGAGGCUACACCGGAGAAUAUUUGUGAAGAAUAAAGAGUGGUGCUCGUUUUAUGAAGUCAGAUCAAAAAAACUGAUUCAAUUUAGGAUCAUAGGCUGAGUUUACACAGGCAGCCAAGAUCUGAUGUGAAAAAAUGUCAUGUGAUUGGUCAAAAGACCAAUGAAUGGAGAAAAAAACUCAAUCGGGCUGCCUGUGUAAACACAGUCAUAAUGGCUGUAUUAUAUAUUUGUGCUCACCCUCUUUUCACAUUUCUCAACAUUCAUUUAAAAAAUAUAUAAUUCUUCAAGUCUUAGAUCUUGGGUUAUGUACAGUGUUAUUUUGAAGUAGCCUACAGUGUUGUGAAUUAUGUACAGUGUUAUUUUGAAGUAGCCUACAGUGUUGUGAAUUAUGUACAGUGUUAUUUUGAAGUAGCCUACAGUGUUGUGAAUUAUGUACAGUGUUAUUUUGAAGUAGCCUACAGUGUUGUGAAUGAUGUACAGUGUUAUUUUGAAGUAGCCUACAGUGUUGUGAAUUAUGUACAGUGUUAUUUUGAAGUAGCCUACAGUGUUGUGAAUGAUGUACAGUGUUAUUUUGAAGUAGCCUACAGUGUUGUGAAUUAUGUACAGUGUUAUUUUGAAGUAGCCUACAGUGUUGUGAAUGAUGUACAGUGUUAUUUUGAAGUAGCCUACAGUGUUGUGAAUUAUGUACAGUGUUAUUUUGAAGUAGCCUACAGUGUUGUGAAUUAUGUACAGUGUUAUUUUGAAGUAGCCUACAGUGUUGUGAAUUAUGUACAGUGUUAUUUUGAAGUAGCCUACAGUGUUGUGAAUUAUGUACAGUGUUAUUUUGAAGUAGCCUACAGUGUUGUGAAUUAUGUACAGUGUUAUUUUGAAGUAGCCUACAGUGUUGUGAAUUAUGUACAGUGUUAUUUUGAAGUAGCCUACAGUGUUGUGAAUUAUGUACAGUGUUAUUUUGAAGUAGCCUACAGUGUUGUGAAUUAUGUACAGUGUUAUUUUGAAGUAGCCUACAGUGUUGUGAAUUAUGUACAGUGUUAUUUUGAAGUAGCCUACAGUGUUGUGAAUUAUGUACAGUGUUAUUUUGCAGUGAAUGAAUUUUAGAGUAUAAGGUGUUAAAGAACUAGCCUGUCUUUUGUUUCAAUUUAAGCACAUGGCCUAUUGUCCAGGGUGGCUCGAGUUGUUGAGUUUUGACAGCAUGGCGUGAGAGAAAAAUGCGAUCAUUCACAAAAUCAUCCAACUCAACCUCAUUGGCCAACAAAAAUAACAGCUAAGAGACUGUGCGAAACACUUUCCACAUGUUGAACACGAAAGUGGUUGGGAAAUUGUUUUUCACUCCGUGUAACGUUGCGCUGGAACACGAGAGAAGGUCGACAAUCAACAGUCACUUCGAAUCAGCAAAGUAUAUGAGAAUGUCAGAACAGUUCCCACGGCAGCGGCAGAUCACCAUGACUGAAGUGGUAGCAGGGAAGACUGUGGCAAGCGCUGAAAGAAUCAAGAUUUGUGAAGAUUGGGUACACACUUGCACAACAAUCAACAUGCAGGACGGAAAAAUGUAUCACAGAAUUUCCGAAAAGCUUCCACAAAAUCAAGUAGAAAUCAGAAAAGAAUGUCGCGAAAUGCUGCAAUAUGUUGGUAGAUUGCCUUUAUUGAUGUCAGGAUAGUCACUUUAAAUCAUUUAAAUAAUGGCACUUUAAUGUUUACAUAUCUUACAUUACUCAUCUCAUAUGUAUACAUACUGUAUGUUAUACAAUCUAUUGCAUCGUGCCUCUCGGUCAU